UGGGGAAUAUUGCACAAUGGGCGCAAGCCUGAUGCAGCCAUGCCGCGUGUAUGAAGAAGGCCUUCGGGUUGUAAAGUACUUUCAGUCGGGAGGAAGGUGUCAAGGUUAAUAACCUUGGCAAUUGACGUUACCGACAGAAGAAGCACCGGCUAACUCCGUGCCAGCAUCCGCGGUAAUACGGAGGGUGCAAGCGUUAAUCGGAAUUACUGGGCGUAAAGCGCACGCAGGCGGUUGAUUGCGUCAGAUGUGAAAUCCCCGGGAUUAACCCGGGAAUUGCAUCUGAUACUGGUCAGCUAGAGUCUUGUAGAGGGGGGUAGAAUUCCAUGUGUAGCGGUGAAAUGCGUAGAGAUGUGGAGGAAUACCGGUGGCGAAGGCGGCCCCCUGGACAAAGACUGACGAUCAGGUGCGAAAGCGUGGGGAGCAAACAGG
rnacentral:rRNA from 1 species